GCCUGGGGUCACAGCACUGUUGUUAGUCCCUGGGGAGAGGUGAUAUCUAAGGCAGGGUCUGAAGAGACUGUUGUUUACGCAGACAUUGACCUGCAGUAUUUGGCCAACGUUCGUCAACAGAUCCCCAUCACAGCCCAACGCCGCACUGACCUCUACACUGUUAACGCAGUGCAGGAGGGAUGACCUUUAACCCCUGAACCCUUAGCUAUGAGGAACUGAGGCAAUCAGUAGUUACAGUAAACAGACCUGUCUAUUCUUGGUGAGAAAUUGAUAGCUGGAGAAUGAGUGUUGGCUACACAGCUGUUUGUGCCAACAAUACAUGACUCCACUGUGACCGACAGUGGAGUAACAGUAGCAGCUGUGGAACCAGGAAAUGUAGUCUGAUUUUGAAGGUGCAUGUAAUAAAGUAGAAUAUCUUCGAUGGAACCAUUUUACACAAAGAGGAUGUAUGUCCUCUCUAAUUUACACAAAGAGGAUGUAUGUCCUCUCUAAUUUACACAAAGAGGAUGAAUG